UACAGAGGUCUCAAGCGUUGUUCGGAAUUACUGGGCGUAAAGCGCGUGUAGGCGGUGCGGUAAGUCGGGUGUGAAAGCCCUGGGCUCAACCCAGGAAGUGCAUUCGAUACUACCGUACUAGAGUCCCGGAGAGGUUGGUGGAACUCUCGGUGUAGAGGUGAAAUUCGUAGAUAUCGAGAAGAACACCGGUGGCGAAGGCGGCCAACUGGACGGUGACUGGACGCUGAGACGCGAAAGCGUGGGGAGCAAACAGG
rnacentral:rRNA from 1 species